GAUCCAGUGGCCUAAUGGAUAAGGCAUCAGCCUCCGGAGCGGGGAUUGUGGGUUCAAGUCCCACCUGGGUCU
rnacentral:tRNA from 1 species